GUCGGGAGAGCUCAGUUGGA
rnacentral:tRNA from 1 species